rnacentral:ncRNA from 2 species
GACGGAUGCCAGGGGUGCGCGUGGCGCUGAGAGUGUGGGGAUUGCCCCACCAACCCUCCGAACCUGAUCUGGGUAAUACCAGCGAAGGGACGGCACCGGGAGGUACAG